rnacentral:rRNA from 1 species
AGGACGAACGCUGGCGGCGUGCUUAACACAUGCAAGUCGAACGAGGCGCUUGCGCCUAGUGGCGAACGGGUGAGUAACACGUGAGCAACCUGCCCUUGGCUCUGGGAUAGCCUCCGGAAACGGGGAUUAAUACCGGACAUGACCUGUGAUUGCAUGAUCACGGGUGGAAAGUUUUUCGGCCAGGGAUGGGCUCGCGGCCUAUCAGCUUGUUGGGGGGUAACGGCCCACCAAGGCGACGACGGGUA